rnacentral:rRNA from 1 species
CGUCGACCGGCGCACGGGUGAGUAACGCGUAUCCAACCUGCCCAUUACAGGGGAAUAACCUUGCGAAAGUAAGACUAAUGCCCCAUGGUAUUCUCAGCAGACAUCUAAUGAGGAUUAAAGAUUUAUCGGUAAUGGAUGGGGAUGCGUCUGAUUAGCUUGUUGGCGGGGUAACGGCCCACCAAGGCGACGAUCAGUAGGGGUUCUGAGAGGAAGGUCCCCCACAUUGGAACUGAGACACGGUCCAA